ACGGAGGGUGCAAGCGUUAUCCGGAUUCAUUGGGUUUAAAGGGUGCGUAGGCGGCCCGGUAAGUCAGUGGUGAAAUCUCCUUGCUUAACAAGGAAGCUGCCAUUGAUACUGCUGGGCUUGAGUACAGAUGCUGUGGGCGGAAUAUGACAUGUAGUGGUGAAAUACAUAGAGAUGUCAUAGAACACCGAUUGCGAAGGCAGCUCACAAAACUGUAACUGACGCUGAGGCACGAAAGUGCGGGGAUCAAACAGGA
rnacentral:rRNA from 1 species